UAGUCAAUGCCCAUGCCCAGC
rnacentral:piRNA from 1 species